CACGUAGUCAGCCGGUACUUAUUCCUGAGGUACAGUCCUUUCUCGUCCCUCAGAAAAGGGCUUUACGACCCGAAGGCCUUCAUCACCCACGCGGCGUUGCUGGUUCAGGCUUUCGCCCGUUGCGCAAGAUUCCCCA
rnacentral:rRNA from 1 species